rnacentral:rRNA from 1 species
CGGCGGACGGGUGAGUAAUGCCUAGGAAUCUGCCUGGUAGUGGGGGACAACGUUUCGAAAGGAACGCUAAUACCGCAUACGUCCUACGGGAGAAAGCAGGGGACCUUCGGGCCUUGCGCUAUCAGAUGAGCCUAGGUCGGAUUAGCUAGUUGGUGAGGUAAUGGCUCACCAAGGCGACGAUCCGUAACUGGUCUGAGAGGAUGAUCAGUCACACUGGAAUUGAGACACGGUCCAGACUCCUACGGGAGGCAGCAGCG